rnacentral:rRNA from 1 species
CCUACGGGGGGCAGCAGUGGGGAAUAUUGGACAAUGGGGGGAACCCUGACCCAGCAACGCCGCGUGAGUGAAGCAGUCUUUCGGUAUGUAAACUUCUAUCAUCAGGGACGAAAGAAAUGACGGUACCUGACUAAUAAGCCCCGGCUAACUACGUGCCAGCAGCCGCGGUAAUACGUAGGGGGCAAGCGUUAUCCGGAUUUACUGGGUGUAAAGGGAGCGUAGGCGGGGAUGCAAGUCAGAAGUGAAAGGCGGGGGCCCAACCUCCGGCCUGCAUUGGAAACUGUAUGGCUGGAGUGCUGGAGAGGUAAAUGGAAUUCCUAGUGUAGCGGUGAAAUGCGUAGAUAUUAGGAGGAACACCAGUGGCGAAGGCGGUUUGCUGGACAGCAACUGACGUUGAGGCGCGAAAGCGUGGGGAGCAAACAGGAUUAGAUACCCCAGUAGUC